UGUGACUCUAUAAGAACAUUGGAUCGAUCAUCAUAUAUAUAGCUUUAAUUUUUGAUUUGCCCUGUAAAAAAGAAAUUUAGGCUGCAUAUGUUCAUCACUGGUUCAUCUGCGUAAUGUCUUUGUAGCUUUAGUUUGAGGAGGUUUUAAUGUGUCAUCAAUCUUCACUGCAUGCAUAUGGAGUUUUACUUGAUUGAGAAUGGUUCCUUGAUACAUCAUCUCAUGCAUUUGAACUAGGGGACUUGCUUUCUCUGAUCUCUCUCAAACUCUUUCUCAGUUCUUGCUUCUUCAGCCCAAUCUCGUUUCUGAUGAAGUGAUUGCACUAUUACCAGAUUCUGAAAGUUCCUUCACUCCUUAAUCCUUAUAGCUAUAAGUGCCAAGGUCAAAGUAUGAUGCUUGUGAGUUGUGACUGAUUAAGCAGUAGUGCCACAGAUUGCAUGUGAAUUGUAUUAAAUGUAUGGUUCGGUGUUGUUUAUUCUGAUUAGUAUCAUAAACUUGUAUUGGUAUGAAACUACUAUUGGUGUUACAAUUGCUAUUUGCAAGUGGAUAAUUUGUAUUUUAAAUUAAAUUUACAAAGCAGUGAUUUUUUUUUUAUUU